rnacentral:rRNA from 1 species
UACGAAGGGGGCUAGCGUUGCUCGGAAUCACUGGGCGUAAAGGGUGCGUAGGCGGGUCUUUAAGUCAGGGGUGAAAUCCUGGAGCUCAACUCCAGAACUGCCUUUGAUACUGGCGAUCUUGAGUCCGGGAGAGGUGAGUGGAACUGCGAGUGUAGAGGUGAAAUUCGUAGAUAUUCGCAAGAACACCAGUGGCGAAGGCGGCUCACUGGCCCGGUACUGACGCUGAGGUGCGAAAGCGUGGGGGAGCAAACAGGGAUU